GGUGAGAUGGCCGAGCGGUCUAAGGCGCCAGACUAAGGCUUAGUCAGCAUAUCUGGUCCGAAAGGGCGUGGGUUCGAAUCCCACUCUCAUCA